UAAUGAAUGAUGGCCAUGUUUUGCAUAUUCAUUCCUUCUAUUCUGUUAUCGCCUUCAAUCGGGAAAGACUGCAAAAUCUUAUUUGCUUUAGUCAUUCCUCCUAGAUUAUAUCACUAGAGCCUUAAUACAAGAGCCCAGGGAAUCUAAAAAUGGACCACGUGGUUCUGUACAAGUGAGGCAGAACAGACAAAACACUCUUGUGCUUGGAAAAUAUUCAGAAGGAAUCAAAUUUUCGGAAAUGAAACCAGCUGCGUGGCUUCUGUCUUGUCUGAGUCUGGCCUGGGAGUGGUCCCUGAAUCACUGGCAGGAAGGACAGUCAGCUGAUGCCAAGGGAGGAGCGGCUACUGCAUUGUAAUCAGUCGGCAAACAUUGCUUUCAGAGAGCCUUAUUUGGGAAGCAGGCUACGUGGCAAUGAUCUUAUUUUUCAGGAAAGGUGGCUGUUAAACAUUUGCAGAAUCCCUCACCCAGACGACAAUGUAUAAUCUUCCUACUGGUACCCUCGUAAACAAAGCAGGAACCAAGGCAUUUUGGGCACAAAACUUAAUAAAUGAUAGGCUCUUUCAGAACAGGGCCUAAGUCAUAUUUAUUUUUCUUUCAUUUAAUUUAUUUAUUAUUUUCUCAUUUAAAGUCACAUAGGUAGUAAAAGCCAUGGAUAGGACUGGGCAUUCAAUGGGUGCUUAAUUAAUGUUGAUGAAUUAAAUACCUCAAAAAUUGGUUGAAUGCAUGAAUGAACCCAACAACUUCCCAUGAGGCAAGGCUUCUUGCUGCUUUUUUUUGCUGCUUUUUCCCACCCCCAUCAGAAAAGCAUGAAAAGUAAAGAUUCCUCCCACGGCCAAAAGACAAAUGCCUGAGUACUUUCUGGGGGCGUCUGACCUGAAUAGAAAUCUGAAAGAUCAUCAGCUAUUUUCAAAAUGAGAUAGUAGGAAAAAGAGAAGAUCUGGGUUCAGCUGCUACCUCCACUUUUUACUGAUUGUGCAACCUAAAGCCAUGUAAGCCAUGGGACUACAGAGACUAUUUAGCCCACUCAGUUUGCACAAGCUCUGUGCCCAUGAGAUCACAGGUCCAGAGUUGGAAAGUCCCUUUGAGGUCAUCUAGGCCAAGCCUUUCAUUUUAGAGAGAAGUCAAGAGAGCCAAAGUCACAAAGCCAGUCUAAACAUAACGUGUGGGUUUGAACCCAGGGCCCCUGUGACUGCACCAGGCGGUCUCCUACCAUAUCUUGUUUGACCACUGUUUUUUCAUUUGUAAAAUGAAGCAGUUAGUCUAAAUCAUCUUUAAGGCUCCUUUGGAUUUGUAAUGUUAUAAUCUAAGCUCCCUUUCACUCAUGAUAUUCUAUGUUCCAAGGUCCUUUCCAGCAUGGACAUUCUAGAUUCCAAGUUCUCUUCCAAGUCAAACAUUCCAAAAUGAAUUCUAAGGGCUUACCAGCUCCAGCAUUCUGUGUUUUAAUACCUCUCCCCCUUUAACAAUCCAUGUUCUAAUGUCUCUCCCAGCUUUGAUAGUUUGUAUUCUCAGAGCCUUUCUAGCUCUGACAAGUCUAUGUACUAAGGUUCUUCCCAGUUCUGAUGCUCUAUGUUCUAAAGUUCCUCCCAACUCUGACAUUCCCUAUCCUUAUAUGGCCCUUCUGGCUCUGAUAGUUUAUGCGUUAAUGUCCCUCCCAGCCCUGACAUCCCAUGUUCUAAGGGCCCUCCCAGCUCUGACCUCCUGGGUUCUAAGGGCCCUCCCAGCUCUGACCUCCUGGGUUCUAAGGGCCCUCCCAGCUCUGACCUCCUGGGUUCUAAGCUCCCUCCCAGCUCUGACCUCUGGGGUUCUAAGGACCCUCCCAGCUCUGACCUCCUGGGUUCUAAGAGCCCUCCCAGCUCUGACCUCUGGGGUUCUAAGCUCCCUCCCAGCUCUGACCUCUGGAGUUCUAAGGACCCUCCCAGCUCUGACCUCCUGGGUUCUAAGAGCCCUCCCAGCUCUGACCUCUGGGGUUCUAAGCUCCCUCCCAGCUCUGACCUCUGGGGUUCUAAGGCCCUCCUAGCUCCCACAUUCUGUGUUCUAAGGGCCCUCCCAGAUCUGACUUUUAUGCACUAAUCUAACUUCCCUUCCUCCCUCUCCCCCCCCCUCUGAUUUCUCUGUUCCAAGGCCCCUCCCAGCUCUGACUUCUACGCCCGAAUGUCCCGCCCAGUUCCGAUUCUCUGUGUUCAGCAUCCAAUGGAAUAGGAGAAAGGGGAGGAGCGUACUUAAUUCUGCCUCUCCUAAGGGGACUGAAAAACCCCUCUCCAACUUCCAGCAACAAGCAGACCCAGUCCCCAGAAGCUGGGUCCUGUUCUUUAUUGUGACAGGUCGUCAAGAAGGCAGGAGACGGUCCCGUCGGGACGCACAGGGAAGACGACCGUCGCUAACUAAGGCGGCGCAGCCGGAGACGGUCCCCAGCGGCGUCCGCAGGAAGGUUUACCCAGCGGAGGGGAGGAGCCUUUGAACGGAGGCCGGAGGCAGCCCCAGGCUCCACCCCCGCCGGGCUCUGUGCUGGCAGCUCAAUCUCUGCCCUGCCCUCAUGCCCAAUAGGAAACGAGAGCCGCCCCGCUUCCACAGUAGCCGGCAUUUACUUCCAGGGAAUGAAGCGUUGCCCCUCCCCCCUCCCAAAUCGGCUCGGAUCCAGACCCUGAUUCACUGGCCAGUCUGCCCGCGCGUCCCUGCGCUGUCUUCUGCUCCCUGCCGGAGGAUGCCAGGAAACGCACGGUAAAACGCAAGCAACCAGAUUCCUCCGCCAGCCGCACCGAGGCGGGUCACAUUCCCACAGAGAGCUCCCAAAAGGGCGGAUUGGCGAGGCUCCCUCCGGCCCGCUCUGACCUCUGCUGGCCGUCCUUUUUCCCGACCCAGAUUUGCACUAAAGCGCCCCGAGCUGGUCAGCUGGUGUGCAGCCCACAGGCACCGGGCCAGAAGCUCUAAGGCCCGUUUGUCCCCAGGUCCAGCGAGCAGCGCCCGUGUCACUAACGAAUUCCGUGCCCGAGACUAAGUACAAAGUGUCCAGCUCCUCUCCCGAAUGGCCUCGGGGACCCCAGAGCCGUGUUUUAUACCUUUCUCUGCUCCCUCGGCCACUCCUAGCCCCGACCCGGAAAGUUACGCGUCAGGCCUUUGUUUAUCAUUCGGAGAGAUCAGGGAAAGCUUCCUGGAGAAGGCAGCAACUCCGCAGGUGGAGGAUGGGGAAGGAGGGCACUUUGGACGUGAGAAAUAAUAGCCUGAGCACCAACAUGGAAGUGGGGGAUAGAGUCAGGUUCGGAGGAGCGCGGAGUUUUGAAAGGCCUAUGUGUCGGGGAAAAAUACCUGGAGUUUAUUCAGCAGCCUAUGAGAUGUCACCAAUGUUUUUGAGCAGAGGGAGGGAGAAAGAUUAUGCUAGCAAUGGUGUGAUGGAAGAAUUGGAGGAGAAAUGGAAAUUGAAUGAAGAUUGAAGCAUACUAUUUUUCCUUUUUGUUUUGAUUUUUCUCUCCCAACACGACAUAUGGAAAUAUGCAAAAAGGAUGUAUUUUUUUAAAUUUUAAAUAAAAACGAAUAUAUGGCUAACCUAAAAAAUAAAAUAUAUAAAUAAAAAAAUUUAAAAAGAAAAGCAAAAAAAAAAAAAAUUGGAAGAGGAAGACUUUGGAGGAAAGGAGACCAGUUAGCAGGCUAGUGCCACAGUAUAAGCAGAGAACAGAAAAGUUUUGCUAUUAGAAUCAUAAUGGUGAAUAAAGAGGAAGUAAUGCAAUAGAUAUUAUAGAAAUGAAAUAGAUAAAAAAUAGAACUUCACAACUGAUUAAUGAACUCAGUAUUUCCAUUGCUAUUGGAAAAAUGUUGAUCAAGGGGCCGCAGGGGAUAGAGUACCAGCCCUGAAGUCAGGAAGACUUGAAUUCAAAUACGACCUCAAACACUUAAUACUUCCUAGCUGUGUGACCCCGGGCAAGUCACUUAAUCCCAAUUGCCCAAUAAUAAUAAAAUAAAAAAACAAAAUGUUGAUCAACUCCUCCAUGACUUCCCUGAGUAUUUCUGGGUCUUCCCAGGCCAAAAUACCUCUUUCCUAUCAUCAAUCCCCUAUAAGUCCUGUCUCCCCUUAGAGUAUAUGCUCCUUGAGGACAAACACUACAUAUCUUGUUUUUAAUAAAUUCUUUUGUUUUAAAUUAUCUUGACAAAGAAGCUCUAGAAAGGCACAUGGUAUAUGUAAAAAGACCACAGUAUAUUGCCAAUAAUGACCUAAAAUUAUCAUUAAUGACACCUAUGAUCAAAAAAAGGAAGAGGCCUAGUCAUUUAUCAAGUUCAUAGGACAAUAGACUGAUAGCCUGAAAUAUGGUAGUAUUAUAUGUGUAUGUCUGGUGUGUACACAAACACACACACACACUCUAUAUAUAUAUGGAAUUGGAAAGUUUCCAAUAUAGUAGGGGUUGAUUUUCUAUGGAAAAUAUAUGGAAGGAAAGAAGACAAGAAGCAGACAGGAUGGAAAGUUGCAAAUAUGCUACAAUCCACCAAAGUGGAGAGAAUACCCAUACUCAUGAGUUCAUGGGUCUACUAAAUAAAUUGAAAGGAAGGCUUGUAGGGUUCAUUUAGAUAGACAGUAAGACAGACAGACAGAUAGAUAUAACUAUCCAUUUGUGUGUUUCACUUUUAGAUUUGUAUCCCCAACACUGACUCUCUUUUCCUCAUUUCCCACCCAGAUAUACUCAUUUUGGACUUCUCAUUUAGGAUUUCUUUGGCUUUUCCACCAUGCUCCAAACAUCUUUCUCCUCUCUACCCCAUCUUUUCAGAUUUGUAUUACAUUGAAAGAUGU